UGUGUGACCAUAAGUGAAGCUCUCAUCAAUUUUAGACAGCAUCACAUCUAUGAAGUCUUCUUCCUCAUCUCCGGCGACCCUCCGGCGAUGCUCUUCGAUCCAUUUCUCGAACACCCAGUCCAACUCCGUUGCAAUUCGCUUAAAUUCCUUCAACUUUCCGAACAAAUCCACCCAUCUCAGCGGCGGAAACGGGAUCAAAUCUGACAGCACAAAAUCCCCAGUCAAAUACAUAAACUCCUUGAUCACUCUCCUCAUGUGGCUCGCCGCCUCUGAAUCUGUUUCUCCUGCGAAGUCGCCGUGGUAUCUCUUCCCGGCGAUCAUCCUAACGAUUAUGUUCAGAGUCAGUCGCUCGAGCCACUCACUCAUUACCACCUUCCCGGGGCAAUCCUUGUAGAGCUCUUUGACGCUAGUCUCCACCUCUGAAACCCUCACUCUCUUCAGCAUCUCAAGCCGGCUCGCCGAGAGCAGCUCGACGACAGUGAGCCGGCGCAUACGCCGCCACAAUGGGCCAUAGUUGCCGAAGCCGAUGGAGGCCGAGUUGUAGCCAAGGUACUCGGCGUGGCUGGAAUGGGGGCGGUUGGCGAAGAUUUUGUCGUUGGUGGUGAAGCAGUCCUUGAUGGCUUCCCAGCUGUUGACGACCAGCAUGCGGUGGACGCCGAGACGGAGGGUGAAGAUUGGGCCGUAUUUGUCGGCCAUGGAGGCGAGCGUCCGGGCGAGGGGGGUCCGGUCGCUGAGGAGGUGGAGGUGGCCGAUGACCGGCCAUGCGCCGGUCACUUCAGGCGGCGACUUGCCGUUGCCGUUGGUCUGAUGCUCUUUAUGAGGCCUUCUUGAUGAUAUCCAUAGAUUAAACAGCAAAAUUAGAGCUACAAAGCCAGGAAUCAGUAGUAAUUGAGAAAGGGAAUCCAUGUUUUACAGCAAGCAUUCAAGAUCCGAUUACUUCCGGCCUCUAAACCAUCUCAGACUCCAUUUAUUACUCUCUUCCAGUGUCAUGGGUCCAUCUCUUAUUUAUUAAUUAUAUAGCUUUGACUUUGUCAAAUGAAUGAAAGAUGCUUGGGUAAUAUCA